rnacentral:rRNA from 1 species
GAUGAACGCUGGCGGCGUGCCUAAUACAUGCAAGUCGAGCGAACAGACGAGGAGCUUGCUCCUCUGACGUUAGCGGCGGACGGGUGAGUAACACGUGGAUAACCUACCUAUAAGACUGGGAUAACUUCGGUAAACCGGAGCUAAUACCGGAUAAUAUAUUGAACCGCAUGGUUCAAUAGUGAAAGACGGUUUUGCUGUCACUUAUAGAUGGAUCCGCGCCGCAUUAGCUAGUUGGUAAGGUAACGGCUUACCAAGGCAACGAUGCGUAGCCGACCUGAGAGGGUGAUCGGCCACACUGGAACUGAGACACGGUCCAGACUCCUACGGGAGGCAGCAGUAGGGAAUCUUCCGCAAAGGGCGAAAGCCUGACGGAGCAACGCCGCGUGAGUGAUGAAGGUCUUCGGAUCGUAAAACUCUGUUAUUAGGGAAGAACAAAUGUGUAAGUAACUAUGCACGUCUUGACGGUACCUAAUCAGAAAGCCACGGCUAACUACGUG